rnacentral:rRNA from 1 species
CCUACGGGCGGCUGCAGUGGGGAAUAUUGGACAAUGGGCGAAAGCCUGAUCCAGCCAUGCCGCGUGUGUGAAGAAGGCCUUCGGGUUGUAAAGCACUUUCAGUGGGGAAGAAAGCCUUGGGGCUAAUACCCUCGAGGAAGGACAUCACCCACAGAAGAAGCACCGGCUAACUCCGUGCCAGCAGCCGCGGUAAUACGGAGGGUGCGAGCGUUAAUCGGAAUUACUGGGCGUAAAGCGCGCGUAGGCGGUCUGAUAAGCCGGUUGUGAAAGCCCGGGGCUCAACCUGGGAACGGCAUCCGGAACUGUCAGGCUAGAGUGCAGGAGAGGAAGGUAGAAUUCCCGGUGUAGCGGUGAAAUGCGUAGAGAUCGGGAGGAAUACCAGUGGCGAAGGCGGCCUUCUGGACUGACACUGACGCUGAGGUGCGAAAGCGUGGGUAGCAAACAGGAUUAGAUACCCCAGUAGUC